rnacentral:rRNA from 1 species
AUGAUGAGUCGCCAACAGCAGCAUGUACCUCUUAGGACUUCCGCCAACGGAGCCCCCCACCGGAAGCUUGAUAGGGAGGGUAGUGGAAGGCAUGAUAGUAAAUCACACCUGAUGAGAUCUUCAUCUGGUGGUUUUACCAGUGCAGAAAAUGGAGGCAAACUUGGGCAUGCAAACCCUUCACGGGAUCGACUAGUCUAUGUUAUGACACAAAUUAUCGGGCAUCAUGUGGAUGUGCAUGUCAAAAAUGGAUCUGUUAUCUCUGGAAUCUUCCAUGCAACAAACACCGAUAAAGACUUUGGAAUUAUCUUAAAAAUGGCACAGCCGAUAAAGGAUACUUCUGUGGGAGGACAAAUUAAUACCUCUGAUGUUGUAAGAAAGCCGGAGACUAUGAUAAUACCAGCACAGGAGCUUGUUCAAGUUUUUGCCAAGGACGUAACACUAGGCGGUGAUGAACUGCCAAAAGGUCCUGUCCAUGACAAAAGGAAAGACUUGAUGAUAGAUUCUGCCAUCUCUCGUUCUCAUUUCCCUGAAGAGAGGGAGCUUGAACGCUGGGCACCAGAUGAAGGGGAUUCAGACUGCAUUGAAUUGGAAAAAUUUGACAGAAAGGGACAUAGGAGCUGGGACCAGUUUGAGACAAAUGCAGCUUUGUUUGGGGUAAAGAGUACUUUCAAUGAAGAUCUUUAUACCACAAAGCUUGAGCGAGGUCCUCAUAUGAGAGAGCUUGAAAAGCAUGCUUCAAGGAUAGCACGAGAAAUAGAGGGUGAAGAUACAGAAGAUCUUCAUCUUGCCGAGGAAAGAGGUUUAUACUUGGAUGAAGAUUUGGAGCAUGAUGAAGAGAUCAAAUAUUCUGCAGUUCGGAGGGAUACUGAUACCACAGUUAAACCCUUUACAAAUGUCCCAAGCAGGCCAGUUAGCAUUGAUACCAAGGAUUUGCCAGUGUGUUCAUCAACAAUGGAUGACAAAUCAUCUUCCCAUAUAUCUGGUGGUACUCAUUUGUCUGCCACUGCUGAAUACCAGUCAAACAAGCUUUUGCCUGCUGACGCCAACAGGUUGGAUGGUAAGAGAAAUAAAGAUAGUAGUGGUGACAAAGACAACAGGAUCUUGCAACCUGAGAAUACUUUAACUGAAGGGGGCCGGCCGCUGAUUUCUGAAGAUUUGGAAGGAGCACCUUCAAGGUCGCGUGCGUCUGAGCCUUCAUCUUCUGGCCAAGGAAACAAGUCAUCAGAUGCUGCGAGUGCUGCGAACUCAGCUGCGAGUGCUGCUCCAGGCUUAUCACCAAGUUCUUCGAUGGGAUCUCUUAGCUCAGACAAAUCAAGUUUGAACCCAAACGCUAAGGAAUUCAAAUUGAACCCUAAUGCUAAGAGUUUCACUCCCUUGACUUCUCCGAGGCCACAUCACCCUCCAGCGCCUGAUGCAACAUACUAUUAUCCUAAUAACAUGGGGGCUACUGGACCUGGUUUGCCUGUUGGCAUGGGGUUUCCACAGGCGUAUGGUGGACAGCCUGUUGUUUACAAUGCUCAGCCUGGAUCUUCUCCCCAGGGUUACAUGCAUCCUUCUGGGCAACAGUAUGGGCAGCAAAUGAUGAUGGGACAGACCCGCCCUGUCUAUUAUUAUGCACCUGAGAUGCAGCAGCAGCAAUACAGAGGAAGGAACUUCUAG